rnacentral:misc_RNA from 1 species
UCCCCAUUCCUUUUAUUUUACUGAUUGUAUUUUUUUUAACUCAUUCGCCGCUUUUGAGAGAUCGAGAGAGACGAUGGAAGGCAGUGACGAUGCGGCGGUGGAGAGGGUGGUGGACUCCAAGGACCAGCAGCAGCAGAGCAAAGCCUUUGACAAGCUCACCGACCGCGUCGAGGACCGUCAGCUCGACUCCACCCGCGUCCAAGAGGCUAUGGCGUCGCUUGCUUCAUCUAGAGAAGCUGAUCUGAAUGCGAUGAGAUUGAGGGAGAAAGAGCUUGCUGCAGUGAAGAUAAAUACCUCUGAUGUGGACAUCAUUGCGAAUGAGCUCGAGCUGGACAGGAAGGUGGCGGAGAGAACACUGCGG